rnacentral:rRNA from 2 species
UACACAUGCAGUCGAACGGCAGCACGGGAGCAAUCCUGGUGGCGAGUGGCGAACGGGUGAGUAAUACAUCGGAACGUGCCCAAUCGUGGGGGAUAACGCAGCGAAAGCUGUGCUAAUACCGCAUACGAUCUACGGAUGAAAGCAGGGGACCGCAAGGCCUUGCGCGAAUGGAGCGGCCGAUGGCAGAUUAGGUAGUUGGUGAGGUAAAGGCUCACCAAGCCUUCGAUCUGUAGCUGGUCUGAGAGGACGACCAGCCACACUGGGACUGAGACACGGCCCAGACUCCUACGGGAGGCAGCAGUGGGGAAUUUUGGACAAUGGGCGAAAGCCUGAUCCAGCAAUGCCGCGUGCAGGAUGAAGGCCUUCGGGUUGUAAACUGCUUUUGUACGGAACGAAACGGUUCUUUCUAAUAAAGAGAGCUAAUGACGGUACCGUAAGAAUAAGCACCGGCUAACUACGUGCCAGCAGCCGCGGUAAUACGUAGGGUGCAAGCGUUAAUCGGAAUUACUGGGCGUAAAGCGUGCGCAGGCGGUUAUGUAAGACAGUUGUGAAAUCCCCGGGCUCAACCUGGGAAUUGCAUCUGUGACUGCAUAGCU